AGCUCUGGCAGUGAAUGAAUUAAGUUCCUAACAAGAAAAAUGUUGAAAGUGCGCAGCGGUCUAUCUAUAAUUCAGGCGCAAAAAGCAGCCCUCUCUGUCAGCAGUCCGCUGCGUUGGCAGACCACAGCAGCUGUAGCAGAGCCCAGAAAUGAUGCAGAGUGGCUACAAGCUCGUCCCUUUGAUCAGAUUCCUAGUACAACUUUUCUGUCUACUGUUCGGAAUUUUAUGCCUGGAGGAAAAUAUAGCAAACUGGACAUUGUGAAAUUGUUCAAAGCUUUGCAAGACGACUAUGGAAACAUAUUAUAUUUACCAGGUAUGAUGGGGGAGGUACGUCAUACCUGAUGACUCACAAUCCCAAGGACUUCGAGGUCGUGUUCCGGAACGAAGGAGUGUGGCCGCAUCGGCCUGGCAGCGAUACUCUUCGCUAUCAUCGGAAGACUCAUAGAAAGGAUUUCUUACAGUGAGUGGAGGCAGCUUUACCCACACAAGGAAAAACCUGGAGCGACUUUCGAUCGGCUGUAAAUCCUGUCCUAAUGCAGCCGAAGAACGUGCGGCUUUACUAUAAGAAGAUGUCCCAAGUGAACCAGGAGUUUGUGCAACGUAUUAAAGCACUCCGUGAUAUCGAUACCCAGGAAGCUCCAGAUGAUUUCUUAAACGUUAUAAAUCGGUGGACCCUCGAGUCAGUCUCUGUGGUGGCU